AAAAAACUAAGCAAAAAAAUUCUGAAGGCUAGGGUUAUAGAGAGGGCAGCCACAUUAUUUAUCAUCCAAACUGGCACACACUUGGGUGCUGUUAAUGAUUACGCUGGAACACCAGGCAUGAAGUGGGACUUUCUGAGCAAACUAUGAUGGAUGGUUCACUUGGAAAUAGAUAACUUGAACGUCCUUCUCAGGUUGUCCCCCCUGGUUUUCAAUAACCCUUUUGGCAACCCCUGCCAAGACUUUUUCUAUAUGGACCCGAUCCAGGAUCCAUCUGAACCGGCUGAGUCUGUAGGCUUGGGCACGUUUGGUGUUCUAUGCUCCAUUGUGUUGGGUGAGAAAGAAAUAGACUGAAGUCCUUCCAGUUGGCAAGAAAGAAAGACGACAGUGUCAUGGGGAUUGCACAGGCCAGGAGGAGGUUGGGGACGUGUGGAUGGCACUUGGGAAGGAGUCACCUGUGAAAAGAAUGACGACCAUGCACAGCUCCCCUAAUUCAACACAGAUUAAUUGGGAUUAGGGAGUUGAGAACAUGCAGCAAAUAUCCUCGAAACUGUGAAUGGACAGCGCCCUGGAUCAUAAGGAGUAGAGACACCACUGACCACUCUCACUGCGCCAUGGUCACGUCUUUCAGGAAAGGGUGGUGUGACCACGAACUGCACGUCUGCUACAGGGCAGGGCUGUGGGCUUCAGGGCAUGACUGUAAACAAAUUUCAAAAAUUUUAGACACAUUUCGAAAAAUGUGAAGCCCUAAUGUCCAUCCACUUCUGGAUAUCAUUUCACAUCUAUCGUAUCUUUCCUACUUUUGAAGACUACUGCAGUUGAAAUCUUGUAAAUUCUACCAGAGGAGAACCCUGGGAUGGCCUUUCGUGAUAUGAAGAUUAAGCAGCCAUAUUUUACUCAUCCCAAUCGCAGAGCUGUUUUUAUUAUACAUUUAUGCAUCCUUUUGUAACAUACAUUUUGGGAGUUAUCCAAUGGCCAUCCAUUUUGUGAACCAGUUUGGCCCAGCUUGUGUCAAGUAGUUAGAAGCUGAGAAAGAAUGAAAGUGCACAAUUAGUCACAAAUUCUCCUCCAAUAUGUGAAUAAGAAAUUAAGCACCAUUUGCUGAUGGAUCAUCAAUAAGUAUUACAGAAAACGUAGGUGUUGAGAAGCCACAUGGCUCAUUUGACAUCACACAGCGGAGGGAAGACAGGACUGGAAACCACAACCUGAUGUCUGGAUGUUACUUUUGUGGCAGCUGUAAUUGUGAUUAUCGUUACUUCUUUGUCCCUGGUACUACAUAUUUCAUUUUAUAACACAUAAAAGUAAUUUUAUAGAAAUGUCUUGGAAGCGUUCCAAAUGCAGUCCAAACACAGGGGAGAGGGUGACUUAAGUUCAAGAUAAAAGCCACUAAGACCUUCCCCAUAGCCUUGCUACCAAGAGAGCUGGCCCUUCAUGGCCAAGUAUUCCCAUCCGGCUCGCUAAGCACAUGCCUCGUCCCUCCCUUCCCAGCCUCUCAUCCACACAUCUGGAAAGCCUGUUCUCCCAAGUGAACUUGGUCUGGCUCAGGAAUCUUGACAUUCCACUCAAAUGAAAGAGCGUAUUGUUGAAAACUAGCUGCAGAGAGACACAUAGACAGACAGGGAUACAAACAGUGUCAUCGCGUGAUAUUUCACAUCUAAGAAUGGAGCUCAGCAGCAACACACCAGACUGGCGGGGGUGGGGGUUUGGGGGGUGGGACGUGGUGAGAAAUGCAGUCCUUUCAAAUUACUCCUUGACAUUCUAGAAGGUCUAUCCCAACACACAACUGAUGUUUUGAUUGAUGAGCACCCUGGGGCCUUUGCCCCCUUGGAGGCCUUGAGCUCAGCCUCCAGAGAGGAUAUGAAGAUGCCACUUUAGGUGCACCCCUGGCUCCUGAAGCUCACAGUCCUGGCCGAGACGCCCAGUUUCCUUCUUCUUUUCUCAAUUUUUUAUUUCAUAAUAGGAUUCCUGGCCAGGUACAGAGUCUCACGCCUGUAAUCCCAGCACCUUGUGAGGUCAAGGCAGGAGGAUUGCUUGAGCUCAGGAGUUCAAGACCAUCCUGGGCAAUAUAGUGAGACCCUGUCUCUACAAAAACAAAAUUAAAAGAAAAAAUUAGCCAAGUGUGGUGGUACAUGCCUGUGGUUCCAGCUACUUGAGAGGCUAAGGUGGGAGGAUCUCUUGAGCCCAGGAGUUCAAGGCUGUGGUGAGCCCUGAUCACACUGCACUCCAGCCUGCACAACAGAGCAAGGCCUUGCCUCCAAAAAUAUAUAUAAUAAUAAAAUAACAAAAAAAAUGCCAGAGAAUGGCACGCACAGAUUGCCUUCAGCAUUGAGUGUUCACGUCCCGGAAUUCACUGAAACAUGGGAACCUAGGAGUGACCUGAGGAGCCCAGCCUUUCCAAAAUGGAAAUGCAGCUGGCGACAUGAAGAACAGAAACACCAACUGCAUGGGGCCUGGAAAGGCAUCUCCCCUUUACUCCACCAUCAUCACAGCUUUCCCGAGGAGAGAGGGAAUGGUUGAGGCCAUUUGACUAUUGUUUUUCACCAGGACCACCUCCCACCCGAUGGAGGCCACAGGCUCAGCUGACGUCCUAACUAUUGACGGUCAUCUUUGACACACACAUCAUAUGUGGUGGGUCAGCUGUGGAAGUAGGGGUGGAAGUAGGGAUUUCUUGUAAGACAUGCCCUGGCAGCUCCCAAAGAAACAAAGGGCAAAUGCUGCUUUCUCCGGAGUUGUGGAGAAGCAUCUUCAAGCCUGUAGCCCUCUCCUGAAGCCAGAUGAAGGACAGGUGUUCCAACCGCAUGUUUUUAUGACGCUGAGUUUGGAUCUGUUUUUCUCCAGACUCACACUGAAACCCUUCCUCCAAGGGCUCUCAGCCCAACAAGAUACUGGAAAAGAGGUUUGAACCCAGCUCCUCUAGUUCCCUAUUGGCCUAACUGUUUAGUCAGAGCUGCCAGCACCAUCGUUUCUGGAAGGAGCUCCUGGUGGUGAGGCUGUGCUAGAACCUGGAGAGAAGGGGCCCUUUGCCUCACCAGCAACACAGCUUGAAUCCCAGCAGAUGAAGGAGAUCCAUGCAGUCAUCACCGGGUGUUCUCUGCAGCCUCGGUGACCCUCAGGGGAGCUUCCCGGAAAGGCAGGCGCUGCCCUGGAGCCUCUUUAGCAGGAGCUGAGCACGUCAAGUCUCAAGUGUGAGCUUUAAGUUUGGCCUGAGCUAUUCAGCUGUAGCCACUUAAACAGAGAAAAACCUGACAACUCGUCACUAAGGCAAUAAGUCAAAAAGCAACUUUUGUAAAAACCUAGUGACAUAAAUGCUCUACAGGGCAAAUCAGAUACUGCGGCAAAUACAGAAGUAAGGCCCACAGCUACUGCCCAGAGCAAGCUCUCCUACACCUGCUAAGCCCCCUCACCCAACCCUCUGAGGCGGGGCCAAAACCUGUGGCCAGACCCAGGAAUUCUGGUCGUUCCUUGAUGGAGGCCAGAGACCUGGCCAAGGUCGUUAGAGUAGACUCCGUGGAAGCACAGAGUAGAAUCUAAAAGCAACUUAGAUUUGGAUCUUCGGGAACAAGUAAGUGCACCUCAGAUCUGGACAUAAGCCCUUUCUGGUAGCACUGUUUUCUAGAAAGAAGACUGUACUAAAGUUCUGGAUAACUCUCUCCCUGCCCCCAGUGACGUCUCAGAGCAGCCUCAUGGACUGACUUGACCAGGCUCCCAGGCCCCCUGCCUCCAGCCCAGCUGUCCUUCCCUCUGUCCCCAGGGCUCAGUGUCUCUCUUUCUCUCUCUCCUUCUUUCUCUCUCUCCAACUGUUGUUUCCUGCUCUUCUACUUUCUCCAUCUUCCUCCCUCUCAUCUUUCCUUCUCUCUUAUCUCUCUCUUCCUUUCACUCUCUAUCUUUUUGGCUCUCUCCUGCCUAUCCUCCCUUCCCUCUCCUCCUCUCUAUCUCUUCAUCUCUCUCUCCUCUCCCGUCUCUGUCCGUGUGUGUGUGUCUCUCUCUCCCCAACUCACGUUUCU
rnacentral:lncRNA from 10 species